AGGGGUGAUGUUUUAGAAUGUUUUUCCACCACGAGGUUUCUGGCGCAGAGCUACUGAGAGGUUUUGGCUGCGCCUGGGGCACACGGACUUCGGGUGUGCAUCCCUGCAGGAACUGCAGAUAUGGAGAAAUGAACAAUAAGUAUACUGCGUGUGGGAGGCUCUGGGCGCGGAGAAAGGCACUGAGGGGCAGAGGACAGCGAUGUGGCCUUGUGCUCCGCAGCUGUUGCAAGAAAUAGCGGUUUGCCCGCCGGUAGCCAUCACGAGCAGCUCGAUGUCCAUCACUGACCAGUCGAGGCGGAUAUUGCUAUGCGCUAGGUGAAGCGCUGCUUUACUAGAAAAGCUUUUAUGACAGAGCAGAUGACGUCACGGAAGAUGCCGAAAGCUACCAUGAAUUGCCCUAUGCUGAUAUCUCUGAUAAGCCUGGGGUCUGCGGUUUUAAAGACGGCGGUGAUGUCUCCUCCUGUGGCGAUGGCUUUAUCGCACUCUGGGGAGGGCAGGAUAAGGCUAAGCAAGUUAACAUCCUUCCCUUCAAGAAUUUUCGACCUAAGCCGUGAGGAGAUAU